rnacentral:misc_RNA from 1 species
CCAAAACAAAUGUAGCCUCAAAUGCAGUCUCUCACCGUUCUCAAUUCUUGCCUCUCAAUGUCCUCGUCAACAGACCAAAUCUUCAGUGACCAGAAACCACCACAAUCGAACCCUCAAAAUAUCCGGAAAACCUUCAAUAAACUCAAAAAGUACACCUCCAAACUCGCCAAUUUCGCUCUCCAAUGGCAGGAUCUCGAGGAUCAUUUCCUCUCGAUCAAAACCCAACUCCAGGAGCUCGAGAAAACCUACAAAAUCAAUACCCAGCAAGCUUUUUCAUCCCAAAUCGAGAACCCAGAAAGGGUAAACGGAGAUACCAUCACAAGACCCGUUGUCGAAUCUGAAAACAGAGUCCUUGAAAGCGAAAUCGAAGAUUGCGAAACGAAACCAUCUGUUCAUUCCCAAAACGAAAACCUAGAAAGCGAACAAAAUUGGAAAAGCAGGAGUGGCUCAAAGAGCCCUUAUAUACCCAUAGAUAGCGGCAGGUCUUUGUUAUUGUACUUAA